AGGGUUUGAUCAUGGCUCAGAUUGAACGCUGGCGGCAUGCCUUACACAUGCAAGUCGAACGGCAGCACGGGGGGUAACCCCUGGUGGCGAGUGGCGAACGGGUGAGUAAUGUAUCGGAACGUGUCCUGUAGCGGGGGAUAACCUCUCGAAAGAGAGGCUAAUACCGCAUACGACCUACGGGUGAAAGCGGAGGACCGCAAGGCUUCGCACUAUAGGAGCGGCCGAUAUCGGAUUAGCUAGUUGGCGGGGUAAUGGCCCACCAAGGCGACGAUCCGUAGCUGGUCUGAGAGGACGACCAGCCACACUGGAACUGAGACACGGUCCAGACUCCUACGGGAGGCAGCAGUGGGGAAUUUUGGACAAUGGGCGCAAGCCUGAUCCAGCCAUGCCGCGUGAGUGAAGAAGGCCUUCGGGUUGUAAAGCUCUUUCGGCGGGGACGAAACGGUCCGUGCUAACACCACGGACUACUGACGGUACCCGCAGAAGAAGCACCGGCUAACUACGUGCCAGCAGCCGCGGUAAUACGUAGGGUGCAGGCGUUAAUCGGAAUUACUGGGCGUAAAGCGUGCGUAGGCGGUUUGUUAAGACAGGUGUGAAAUCCCCGGGCUUAACCUGGGAACUGCGCUUGUUACUGGCAGACUGGAGUGUGGCAGAGGGGGGUGGAAUUCCAGGUGUAGCAGUGAAAUGCGUAGAUAUCUGGAGGAACACCGAUGGCGAAGGCAGCCCCCUGGGCUAACACUGACGCUGAUGCACGAAAGCGUGGGGAGCAAACAGGAUUAGAUACCCUGGUAGUCCACGCCCUAAACUAUGUCAACUGGUUGUCGGGGAAGAAAUUCCUUGGUAACGAAGCUAACGCGUGAAGUUGACCGCCUGGGGAGUACGGCCGCAAGG
rnacentral:rRNA from 1 species